GACGUAGGGCGCGAGCGUUGUCCGGAUUUAUUGGGCGUAAAGCGCGCGCAGGCGGUCCUUUAAGUCUGAUGUGAAAGCCCACGGCUCAACCGUGGAGGGUCAUUGGAAACUAGAGGACUUGAGUACAGAAGAGGAAAGCGGAAUUCCACGUGUAGCGGUGAAAUGCGUAGAGAUGUGGAGGAACACCAGUGGCGAAGGCGGCUUUCUGGUCUGUAACUGACGCUGAGGCGCGAAAGCGUGGGGAGCAAACAGG
rnacentral:rRNA from 1 species